CUGCCAUCGGGCCGGUGCAGAUACGGGGUUGCUCUUUUGCUCAUAAGAGGGGCUUCGCUGGCAGUCUGAACGGCAAGCUUGAGCAACGCGGUAAAAAUAUUGCUUCGGUGGGUGACGCGGUACAGCUGCCCAAGGGCGUUCGUAACGGGAAUGCCGAAGCGUGGGAAAAAGGGAGCGGUGGCGGAAGACGGGGAUGAGCUCAGGACAGAGCCAGAGGCCAAGAAGAGUAAGACGGCCGCAAAGAAAAAUGACAAAGAGGCAGCAGGAGAGGGCCCAGCCCUGUAUGAGGACCCCCCAGAUCAGAAAACCUCACCCAGUGGCAAACCUGCCACACUCAAGAUCUGCUCUUGGAAUGUGGAUGGGCUUCGAGCCUGGAUUAAGAAGAAAGGAUUAGAUGUGAGUGGAAUUUGAGGGAAAGAGACAUUUUUUAGUAUUGAAUGGUCUUAGGGUUUAGUCACCCCUUUUCUCCGUUUAGCCUUCAGGCUGUUUUAUUUUUCUCCUGCCCGUAGUUUUCUGUGGGGCUUCCCCAGUCUUGCCAGUUGUAUUUCCUAAAUGUCUGUUCCUUCACUUCCAUUGCCAUUUUCUUUUUUAGUGUUCUCUCCUCUUCCCAGAAUGUUGCAAAAACCUCUUCACUAUACUUCCUCCAUUUUAUCUUCCUGCAUUGCAUUCCAUAUGAAGCAUGUCCUCCAUUCCAUUAACCAUAGCUUAAAAAUCUUAGCUUGCUAUCCACUGCCUAUAGAAAAAACACAUCUCCUUGGCAUAGCAUGUAAGACUUUCUUACCUCUCUAUAUUUGUUUUCAUUUAUCUAGCUUAGAAUUGUUUGAAUAUUGUGCUGCUUGACUCGAACUCCUUAGGCCAAGAGACUGUUUAACCCGUGCGUAUCUAUGACUUAGCAUAUAGAUUAUUCAAUAAAUGUUCUGCUGAAUUGAUAAUACGUUUUCCACCUUUCUUUUCACUUACAGUGGGUAAAGGAAGAAGCCCCAGAUAUACUGUGCCUUCAAGAGACCAAAUGUUCAGAGAACAAACUACCAGCUGAACUUCAGGAGCUGCCUGGACUCUCUCAUCAAUACUGGUCAGCUCCUUCGGACAAGGAAGGGUACAGUGGCGUGGGCCUGCUUUCCCGCCAGUGCCCACUCAAAGUUUCUUACGGCAUAG
rnacentral:lncRNA from 1 species